GCACAGGCUGCAUCCAAGGAACAAUGGGGGGCGGGGGGAAUGGACACGCUGACUGGUAACUGCUGUUUGCUACCAACUAUACUUUGCUAGGUAUGUGAUUACAAAGGACCUAACAUUCUUCUGGAUGAAAUUAUAUGUACAAAGGCUGAGAACUCAUUUCAGCCCCAUCUUUUGGACAGAUUUUGUGAUAAAGAACUGCUCCCGGCUCUCCAGGGACUUGCCCACCAAAGCCCUACACAAAGAGAGACAAAGGUUGUCUUUACUUCAGCACUGGAAAGGAGACAACGUUUGAUUUAAUCCAGCAAUAUUUUAUGACCUCAACAUUGCUCAGGAGAAACUAAAGGCAAAUCAGCCAGCUCCAGGAGGGCGACCCACAAUGUGAGCAUAAGAACCCCACUUUGCGAAGGGCACCUUGGAGCAUUCCUUUCCUGCUUAAUGGAUUCAUGUCUCUGUGCUCUCCAAUGCAGUACUGCUCUUGUAUGAAUUAUACUCUGUUAGUGUGUAUGCCUGAAUUGUAUAUCGUUUAUAUAUUCUCUCCUCU